AAAACUUUCACUUUAACACUAAAUGACGAACACUAGGGUUAAAUGUGUGAUUGUGCAGACCUUCCAGCGAGGCUCAGCCUGCAGUGGCUCUGAUCUUUCCUUCAGUGUCUGCUAGAGAGACGUGAGGCCGUUUGAGGUCCUGCUGUGUGCUCCUCAUGGCAGGGUUAUAGGUAAACCUCCGACAAAACACAACGUUUGUCACUGUAAGAGUCCAGUUAUUAUUAGUAGUGAAUAGUCAUUGAGCUCACCUUUAUUCUGAGUUCACUCCUCAUGAUGCAUUAAGUGUCUUUAGUUAGUUUGUGUGUGUGAAAGAAAAAGUCUUAUUGUGAAAUUCUCUUUUACAGGAUGCAGAUGAAGGAUGGUGUGUCUCCGCUCAGAGCUCCUGACUGACAUCUGAGGCUCCUCAAUGACUUCAGGAUGCAGAUGAAGGAUGGUGUGUCUCCGCUCAGAGCUCCUGACUGACAUCUGAGGCUCCUCAAUGACUUCAGGAUGCAGAUGAAGGAUGGUGUGUCUCCGCUCAGAGCUCCUGACUGACAUCUGAGGCUCCUCAAUGACUUCAGGAUGCAGAUGAAGGAUGGUGUGUCUCCACUCAGAGCUCCUGACUGACAUCUGAGGCUCCUCAAUGACUUCAGGAGUGAUAACUUCAGCUCUGUGAUCAGCGGCUGCAGGCGUUAGGCAUGUUGAACGUCUCUCUGGAGACUUCCUGCCAGCCCCAAAAAGACUUGUCCGUAACCGUGACGACUGAUGUUAACUGUGAGCUUCAGGAUAUCUCCAGCAACCAGACUUUGACCCAGGUGAAGAAACAAUAAGACUUACUGUAGUGGUGUUUUUUUUUGUUUUUUUUUCAAAGAAUGAAAUGUGUAAAAUAAUCUCCUUCUUUCUCUUUAGAUUUCACCAGCUCGUCUGCUGUUUGGCUGUCUGAUAGUCAGAUCAUGUGGUUUUGUGUCGUUUGCACACUUUUGGAAAAGGUGAAUGUGUAUUUAUUAGUAAUA